AUUGAACGCUGGCGGCAUGCUUUACACAUGCAAGUCGAACGGCAGCGCGGGCUUCGGCCUGGCGGCGAGUGGCGAACGGGUGAGUAAUGCAUCGGAACGUGCCCAGUAGUGGGGGAUAGCCCGGCGAAAGCCGGAUUAAUACCGCAUACGACCUGAGGGUGAAAGCGGGGGACCGAAAGGCCUCGCGCUAUUGGAGCGGCCGAUGUCGGAUUAGCUAGUUGGUGGGGUAAAGGCUUACCAAGGCGACGAUCCGUAGCUGGUCUGAGAGGACGACCAGCCACACUGGGACUGAGACACGGCCCAGACUCCUACGGGAGGCAGCAGUGGGGAAUAUUGGACAAUGGGGGCAACCCUGAUCCAGCCAUGCCGCGUGCGGGAAGAAGGCCUUCGGGUUGUAAAGCGCUUUUGUUCGGGAAGAAAUCCUCUGGGCUAAUACCCCGGGGGGAUGACGUUACCGGAAGAAUAAGCACCGGCUAACUACGUG
rnacentral:rRNA from 1 species